ensembl:rRNA 5S_rRNA 5S ribosomal RNA
GUCUACGGCCAUACCACCCUGAACAUACCUGAGCCUGUCUGAUCCCAGAAGCUAAGCAGGGGCAGCCCUGAUUAGUACUUGGAUGGGAGACCACUUAGGAUAUCAGGUGUUGUAGGGA